rnacentral:rRNA from 1 species
AGAAUCAACGCUGGCGGCGUGCCUAACACAUGCAAGUCGAACGCGAAAGGGGAGCAAUCCCUGAGUAGAGUGGCAAACGGGUGAGUAACACGUGGGUGACCUGCCUUCGAGUGGGGGAUAACGUCCCGAAAGGGACGCUAAUACCGCAUGACAUCCUGCUCUUGGACGAGCGGAGAUCAAAGCUGGGGAUUCGCAAGAACCUGGCGCUUGAAGAGGGGCCCGCGCCUGAUUAGCUAGUUGGUGAGGUAACGGCUCACCAAGGCUACGAUC